rnacentral:lncRNA from 1 species
CUUUCCGCUUUACUCAUCCUAGCUGUUAUUUGUAAGAAUAACAGGUUGAUGACAGGGCUUUCAGCAGAUUGGACAGAUUGGGAAGCAGCACUGAAAAGACAGUUUUCAUUGGGAGUUACGAGCACCAUUUAUAGUUAUCAAGUCUUCUCCAGUGGAAAAGAAGAUGUGAUAAUUUAGGAAGAUAUCCUGCCAUGGAUAUUAUGCAUAACCAUUACAGACAUCAAUGAGAAUUUGAUCCAGAGAUUGACUGAAUGGAAUUUGGCCAGGGUAAGGAGUAAAGGAUAGUGCUCAUGAUUAUGUAACACUGAGUUUAUUCAGCAUGUACAAAUAAUUCUGAUUUCAAAAUACAGUUUAGGAUCCUGCCCUUUUCUUUCGGGUAAGUAAUGAGUUUUCCUUUUAUAAAGCAUAUUUUAUUGGAAAAAAUACUUGAAACAGAUUAUAAGAGAAAAAGAAA